ACUCCUACGGGAGGCAGCAGUAACGAAUCUUCCGCAAUGGACGAAAGUCUGACGGAGCAAUGCCGCGUGUGGGAUGAAGCGUCUAUGACGUGUAAACCACUGUCAGGGAAUAGAAACAAUGAUCGUUCCCAAAGGAAGUGGCGACUAACUCUGUGCCAGCAGUCGCGGUAAUACAGAGGCCACAAGCGUUAGUCGGAAUCACUGGGCUUAAAGGGUGCGUAGGCGGCCUGCCAAGUGUCUUGUGAAAUACCUUAGCUCAACUAAGGAACAGCAGGGCAUACUGGUAGGCUCGAGGCAGGUAAGGGUCGCUGGAACAGUAGGUGGAGCGGUGAAAUGCGUAGAUAUCUACUGGAACGCCGAUGGUGAAGACGAGCGACUAGGCCUGACCUGACGCUGAGGCACGAAAGCGUGGGGAGCAAACAGGAUUAGAUACCCUGGUAGUCCACGCCGUAAACGAUGUACACUAGACUGGUGCGGUUUUGACGCCGUAUCAGUCGUAGUAAAAACGAUAAGUGUACCGCCUGGGGAGUACGGUCGCAAGGCUAAAACUCAAAUGAAUUGACGGGGGCUCACACAAGCGGUGGAGCAUGUUGCUUAAUUCGAGGCAACGCGAAGAACCUUACCUGGGUUUGACAUGUAUGUAUUAACUCUGUGAAAGCAGAGCCACAGUCGCAAGACCGGAACAUGCAC
rnacentral:rRNA from 1 species